rnacentral:rRNA from 1 species
UACGAAGGGGGCUAGCGUUGUUCGGAAUUACUGGGCGUAAAGCGUGCGCAGGCGGCUUCUCAAGUCAGGGGUGAAAGCCCAGAGCUCAACUCUGGAAUUGCCUUUGAGACUGAGUGGCUUGAGUACGAGAGAGGUGAGUGGAAUUCCCAGUGUAGAGGUGAAAUUCGUAGAUAUUGGGAAGAACACCGGUGGCGAAGGCGGCUCACUGGCUCAUUUCUGACGCUCAGGCGCGACAGCG